GCGUUGUAUGAAAGGAAAGAAGGUUAGCAUUUCCCUUGACAAAGAUGGACGAGGCCCUCUGGCCUAACAAUCUUCAUAAUUAAGUCAUUAACACCUAUUUCAUGGCAUCUAACGAUUUGUAU
ensembl:snRNA